rnacentral:rRNA from 1 species
AGGGUGUAAACGCUGCAGACUUGGUGUUGGAAAUCCUUCGAGGGUAUUCAGUGCCGGAGAGAAGUUGUUAAGUCUGCUACUUGGGGAGUACGUCCGCAAGGAUGAAACUUAAAGGAAUUGGCGGGGGAGCACCGCAACGGGAGGAGCGUGCGGUUUAAUUGGAUUCAACACCGGAAACUCACCAGGGGGAGACUGUUACAUACGAAACCCAGAACUAAUGAUUCGUUGGUUGUAUUUCAGAGAGGGUGGUGACAGUGGGCGUCAGUGACU